CUCAUGAUGAAUUAGAUAUCUCUCUGUGGAUUUAAAAUAUUGGUAAUAAGUUCUAUGUUAUGGUUAAAAUUAAUUAGAUAUAUAUUUACACAAUACGUAGAAAAAAUGGCAAAUCUUCAAAAGGACAGAGUUUGAAAAUAAACCGUUGAAACAGAAAUCGUAGAAAAAAAAAUUAUAUAAGCUUUAAACUGGACGCGUAGGUCGGACGAUAGCUAGCAGGGAGAAUGUUCUAGUAGGCGAUGGAGCAAGACCAUUGUUAUCACCGAGAUAAGGCCCACAUGAAACGGUCCUAGGUUAUUAAGCAUCGUUCUGGCUCACUGAUUGACAGUGGAUUGAUGAAUGAAGGUCCUUACCUCACUUGGACCUCUCUAUUAAGGCAUACCAAGAGGCAAAAAUAUCUGUGUGGACAACCGAAGAACUACGACCCAUGGCAGCAGUUUCCUCCCUUGAAGAAACCUGUUUUUCAGUAAUGAAAAAAUUACUCCUUGAGAAGUUGUUUUUAUUUUAAAGGCUUGAUAUCAAUAAAAUGUCACAAAACAA